rnacentral:rRNA from 1 species
CCUACGGGCGGCAGCAGUGAGGAAUAUUGGUCAAUGGACGAAAGCCUGAACCAGCCAAGUAGCGUGCAGGAUGACGGCCCUACGGGUUGUAAACUGCUUUUAUACGGGAAUAACGCGCCUUACGUGUAGGACUUUGCAUGUACCAUAUGAAUAAGGACCGGCUAAUUCCGUGCCAGCAGCCGCGGUAAUACGGAAGGUCCGGGCGUUAUCCGGAUUUAUUGGGUUUAAAGGGAGCGUAGGCCGCAUGUCAAGCGUGCUGUGAAAUGUCCGGGCUCAACCCGGGCCUUGCAGCGCGCACUGGCGGUCUUGAGUCCGAGGAAAGCAGGCGGAAUUCGUCGUGUAGCGGUGAAAUGCUUAGAUAUGACGAAGAACCCCGAUUGCGAAGGCAGCUCGCUGCAGCGGAACUGACGCUGAUGCUCGAAAGCGCGGGUAUCGAACAGGAUUAGAUACCCGAGUAGUC